GGGCGUGCCUGAUACAUGCAAGUCGAACGCUUCUUUCCUCCCGAGUGCUUGCACUCAAUUGGAAAGAGGAGUGGCGGAUGGGUGAGUAACACGUGGGUAACCUACCCAUCAGAGGGGGAUAACACUCGGAAACAGGUGCUAAUACCGCAUAACAGUUUAUGCCGCAUGGCAUAAGAGUGAAAGGCGCUUUCGGGUGUCGCUGAUGGAUGGACCCGCGGUGCAUUAGCUAGUUGGUGAGGUAACGGCUCACCAAGGCCACGAUGCAUAGCCGACCUGAGAGGGUGAUCGGCCACACUGGGGACUGAGACACGGCCCAGACUCCUACGGGAGGCAGCAGUAGGGAAUCUUCGGCAAUGGACGAAAGUCUGACCGAGCAACGCCGCGUGAGUGAAGAAGGUUUUCGGAUCGUAAAACUCUGUUGUUAGAGAAGAACAAGGACGUUAGUAACUGAAC
rnacentral:rRNA from 1 species